GUGUGGAAGGUUCUUAUAACUGCGAAGAACCUUGCUUGAGUAACAAUUCUUUCAAAUCAAUCUGUUCCUUUUACACGCUGUUCCAACUUUAUUAUAGUAAUCUCUCACGAGCUCUGCAAAGAUACUCGCGUAAAAACGUAAAUACGUUCUAAAUCGAGCUCUAUAGGUAUACCAUCAACAUACAAGAAAAUAUGGAAAAUUAUCUAUGAGGCCAUAUGGUUAAGAGAAUGUACACGUUCGAUAUCUCUAUUCUAGAACACAAAUCUCCUUUCAUGAUAUACUCGUCGAUAGGCAUAACAGGACUUAUUGUACCCCGGGCACAUUGUAAAUAAGAAUGAAGCAGCCACGUUAGUUCAACGUUCGAUACACUGCGACGUGUACGAUGUCAACGCAUAGCGCAUGUAUAUUCUAGAAAUAUACAAGAAGAUGACACAUUUCACUGUUCGAAGCUAUCAUUUGAACCGGGUCUAGCCAAAAAUCAAACCUUCCGGAUCGUCGUAAAUUGUCCGAACAUUGAUACUUAAUUGCCCAACGCUAUCAGCAAGAUCGUGAAACGAAUGAAACGAGAACGCUGCGUGAAUACAAUUGCGCUUUAUCGUCAGAGAGGACAGCAACCGCAAAAUAAAAUAGUCCCGAUCGGCAAUUUCAUGGGAUUGAAAAUACAUUUGGAACACGAGAUAAUGUCUCGGGAAUGGUUACCGGACGUAAGACGAGAAACGCAUUCGAAUACUAGCACGCAGUUCGAGUGAAUUUGUUCGUCACCCGAAGGGUUGGGUGAACGAUCGCCGAUCAACGAUCAUCGUCAGGCAGACGGUGAAAACCAGGAGAAAAAACAAAGACGAAACACAACGAUUAUGCAUUUACACGUGGGCAGAAAGAAGCGUCAUGCGGUGCAGCCAAGCGUGCGUUGCUGUUUACCUGCGAACGGCACAUCCCCAAAGUAUUCCUCGACGUUGUCCGUCGACAUGCUCUUGUCCGACAGGGACACGCUCGACAACGAGCCGCUGGACGCGUCCAGGCUGCCGCCGGCCGGAAACUGCAGUAAAUCCUCGUCGGUUUCUGUUUCCAUGUCGCGGGACCUCCGUUUGUAUACCUGCCACACGUAAACGCAAGUCCAACAAUUUCUCUUCGAGACGAUUCUUUUUUAUCCCUAGAACGUGGUUACCUGAUUUACACACCACGACAAUACUUGUAUAGAAGACAUUAGGGAGGACACAUAUUGAAUAGAACAUUGCCAUUAUCUCAAAAAAUUUGUGAGUCUUUCUAUAAUGAAAUUAUACUUGUUUUGUAAUUACAUUAUGCACAUCCGAUUACACCUAUCUUGAAGCCGCUGCCAGUUGAUACGUAACUAUGUUAGAGAAUUAAUCUUUUUUUUAUAUUUGAAAGUAACAUCUUCCUGUGUUUCCCUCGUAACGUUAUGUGAACUACUGUUACUUUUCAUUGAGUUUUUGUUUAUCGCAUUCGAUCAGAUAUUUCUCCAAGAAUUUUGACACGUAGCAUUGGAUAGUCUUUUUAUGUCGUAAUAAUUAAAGAAGUUAGUAACUUUUCUAAUUUCAUAA